UGAGCUGUCCUUGUCUGGAUAGUGGCAAAAACGGAACGGAGUUAGGGAGGGAUUCCGUCGGGAAUUAGGGAACUUAACAGAAUUUCGUAAGAUGCAGGCCUUGUGAGCGUAUCCCGAUUUUGUUUGUUUAGAUUGGAGGUAGGUCAUUAUAGAUAAUCAAGCGUAAUCAGUCUAGCGCUGUUCGUGCUCUGAAUGCAAUUAUAACAUAGUAGUUUGAUUAUUAUAUUCUAGCAGAACAGAGGACAUAAUGGAUUUAUGGAUGUACUCUCUUGCGUAAUUGGAGGUUUAUGGUGGACAGAAUGGGUUUAUGGGCGCAUCAACAUAUCUUCUGGUCAUACUUGGUACAAUCUAAUACCAAGCAGAAUAUGAUGUGUAGAGAUCAUUUUGAGUACUGUUUUGCUUCAAAGUGGUAGAUAAGCAUGGGUUGAGGAAGUGGGCAGAAAGAGUUUAAAGGUAAAAUCACUGCACCACUAAUAUAGGUUAUUUUGUGCUAUAUUUCUAGGUGAGAAUAAUUUAUGCCUGAUAGGACUGCAAUUGCAGAUAAGUUCUAUUUUAUAAAGCCCAGGGCUUUUUUUACCUGAACAAAUCCUUUGUGCAAAUCUUAGGCUAGUUGUUUAUCCGAGUUAUAUCUCAUGCCCCAUUUCCAACCCAUGUUAAAUAUCCUAAUUCCUAUCUGAGACGUUUUGCCAACAAUUGUGAAGGUUAUAUUACUUCACUCAAUAAAUAUAUGCUACAUUAAAUGAACUAAUCAGUAGAGCAAUAUAGUUAGAGAUUAUCAGCAUCACUCUCACUCGUGAUCCUAGGCUGCUAGCCGCUUUGAGUUGGAGCAAAGCUGUGGUGGAGGCUUUCUUCCUUGUACAUCAAGCACGUAGAAAAAUAUGCCCCACCAAUGGAGGGAGAGAUAUUUGAUGAUGUGCACUGCCUGGCAAACUGAGGGAAUGCAUGAUGUGCCAUCAGAUCUGAUCUGGAGAUGGACGGCUGGAGUUGCCACCCCAAUUGGAGUGGUUGGGGGAGUACUGAACUGUUUCGAGGCUUGACAAGGACGCAGGUGCCAAAGCUUUUGCCUGUCUCUCUAGCUCCUCCUAACUCUAGAUCUCUCUUGGCCUGUAAGCCACCUCUGAUAACAACAGCCUCCUCCAUCACUUUGUCAUGUCCCAGACAACAACAAUACAAUCUUUGGCGCCCCGUGUGUAUGUACCUAUCCAUGCAAUAUCUUGCUGCUGACUAAUAGUUGUCCCUUUCUUUUCAAGACGAAAAUAAAGAAUAUGCGGAAAGUGUAUAUCAUGUAACAUGUGUCUGCAACUGCAAGGUUAGAUUUAUUAACAUAGAAAGCAUAUGUUCGUUCAUACUUGUGAGUACAAGUACUUCAAACAGUCUGAAGCACCUUUGGAAUCUGACAUGGUAGCGUAAAUACUAAUAUAAUAAAGUAGGCUAGAGUGGGUUCUCAUAUAUAAUAGUGUCUAAGCGAGGAGACUCUCCUUAGCUUUAGAUACUCUUGCAUGAGAUUAGGAGUACCUGCAGGAGAGAUUAGUAUAUUACAGAAAUCCAUGAAGAAAAGUGUAAUGUGCAUAAUCCGAGAACAUUCGCUUAAAUUAUAUGAAUAUCAGUGUGAGGGGGCUAUCACCUCGCUUUAGCUGACUGAAAAUGGAUGUCUAAUGUGGAAUUUAUAAUCUCGUAGUACUAGCUGGCUAGCUGCAAGUGCAGUAUUCACAUGAACUAGAAAUAAGAUGUAUGUUAUGAAUCAUUGAAUUACAUAUGCUUUGAUAUUUUAUCACUUUUGUCUCUUUCAUUCCGAUGGAUGUUGUCUACUAAUCAUUUGGCUACAUGCUUCAUUGCAAGGGGAAUCUUUUUUAACAACCAGGGGAGUAUUUCUCUCUGGAGAAGGGAGGAAUCUUAGCUUGGUCCAGUAUACAGCCUGACGUUUGUAUCAGACUACAGUAUCUGCGUCCUAGAUUAACUUCUCCCCAGGCCGGCUGUCCUUGUUGACUGGUCGAGGUGGACUGACCCUGGAGCAAGGGGGUCUUGGCUAAUUGGACAUGUGAAGCACUGAGGCGUCAGUCCAUUGGUGCCUGGUCCUGUAUGCAAGUGAUCACUGUUCACAUCCAAUUCUGCUCUUCCACCAGCGCACUAAAGUUUGGAACUUUGGAUACUCUCUAGUCUGAACCAGAAUCCAGAAAACUUGGAACAGUAGAAUCUUUGAAAAGAAAAGCGCAACUGCUGCUUAUCUUUGAAAAGAAUAGUAGUACUUCGUAUAUCUGUUGUCAGCGUGUCGUCUUUCGCCCGAUGAAUAUUUGUUGAGACUUGAGAAGGGUACGUAAACGGCUGUGCCCAUACUGCGCAGCAAUUAGGAUUCCACAUUUCCACUACCCAACUGUCCAAGCUUCCAACCUGUAUUAUUCUGGUUAGGAGAUAUUGGGCGGUGCCACUGACGUAGGAAGACCUCGCUAAGUCUUUCCACUUGUAGGAAAAGAUUGACGUAAAGAGAGAAUCGUCUGGAAUUUUGGUUGGUGGUGCAAUGAAUUUUUGGCUGCUAGUCGAACA